GAGGCAGCAGUGGGGAAUAUUGCACAAUGGGCGCAAGCCUGAUGCAGCCAUGCCGCGUGUGUGAAGAAGGCCUUCGGGUUGUAAAGCACUUUCAGCGGGGAGGAAGGCGGUGAGGUUAAUAACCUCACCGAUUGACGUUACCCGCAGAAGAAGCACCGGCUAACUCCGUGCCAGCAGCCGCGGUAAUACGGAGGGUGCAAGCGUUAAUCGGAAUUACUGGGCGUAAAGCGCACGCAGGCGGUCUGUCAAGUCGGA
rnacentral:rRNA from 4 species